ACGUACAUGUAUACGUACGGGACCAGGACACCUCGUUCCCCUCAUGCCCUCAAGUCUGUCGAAUUACCCGAACAUGACCCCCUCUCGAUUCCCCUCUCGCCUGCGACCUCACAUGGCGAUGCGCCCGUCGCCGCCUUGAUUCUGACCACAUCCGCCGCCGAUUCUUGCCGGCGAGGCUCCGCCUCGAUCUCCUUCAUCGAAUCCCUGCCGCCUCGACGCUCACUCGCAUCUGUGCUGUCAGGACACGCGCGCGCUUCCGCGACUAACUCUAUCCUGCAGCCUUCUCGCUCACGACGCCGAGAACCUUCGCGGUGGCCGGUCGAUUUGACCGCCGCCGGCCGCUCGUGUCCUCGCCGUCUGUCGGCGCGACUCCACCACGGAAUCCUCCGUCAGCACCAGCCGCUACGCCCCUGUUUCCCCUGCUCGCGCCCCAGACUAACCCUAGCCGCCUCCAGUUCCGGCUGUCGCCGACCGAUUCCGGCGCCGCCGCUGUUCGGCGAGGAUCUGCCGAACCUCAUCUGCCGGCCCCAUCCUCUGCAGCGCCUCCGGUACUCAAGCGCGCACGCCCGCGUACCUGCGCGUCGCUGACGACCGCGCCGCGGCACGGCGCUGCUUGUCGUCUCCGUCACCGCCGUCGGCCAGAAAGGCUUUGCCAUGAAUUUCUCCCUCGAUUGCCCGUCGCCACGAGGCUCGCACCCUCCGGCGCGUGCGGUCACAUGAGACCAUAGCCGGGGCUCUUCUCGGUGUUGCGGUGGUGUACUGGUGGUGUGCUGUUAGGGAUGGUGUUGUGGUGAAGGCGGUUGGUGGCGUGUUGGUGAUGGGGUGCUCGUGGUGCUGCUGAUGGUGCUACUGGUGGGGUAACCUCGACGCCGGCAGGACGGCGUCGCCGGCGCCAACCCGGCGUCGCCCACCCCGCUACUUCCUGUACAUCACUGUGAGCCAAUCCCUUUUCUCUAACUCACUCUAUAGUCAUGAAUCGAUGGUAUGUGCUUGGUCAUACUGCAGCAUAUACGUAGGUGAUUGACAUAUGUGGUGUGAUGCUUCAGUUUUGGAUGACUUGCUCCUCAGAGCAUCCCUUGUUGUGCUGCUGAACUAAACAGACUCUAUUCCAUUUGAUAGAUGACGAGUACUAACCUUAAUGCCUCCAUUUGGAUUUGUUGCCUUACUAUGCCACUAUUUCUGUUGAACUGAACUUGACAGCUCAGUUAUACACCUAGCUAGUUUAUUAUGGAGUUUAUAUGUAGGAUACUGUAAUUAUCACUUACACAUUGGUGCUUUAUUUGAUGGCUUGUUUGUAAACUUGUAUACAUAUUUAUAAUGCUCUGAUUAUUGGAUUGAGAUGGUUCCUUGAUCAUCUUAUGGUUUUCAUGGGUUGGAAUAAAUAUCGGCGGAUGCUGGUACUAAGUAGAUGCUUGGACAUUUUACUGGAUUAGUUUUACUUGUGAGCUUAUAUGUAUCUCUAGUGGCUUGGCUGUUAUGGAAUCUGUAGAUCCUGUGCAUACAUGGUUGGGCUUAUGUUUAUGUGUUAAUGGUGCAAGGUGAUUAUGUCCAGUUCUUUCUCAGAUGUAUUAGUUGGAUUAUUAAACUUAUAAGAACAGCUAUAAGCUUGAUUUUCUUGGCCCUGCCAAUGAUGCGAAAGGCUGAGGCUAGAUUUUUAGAUAAGAACAGAUACUACUAUGUUGCCUUUUCAUCUCUGUGAUGAUUUAGCAUAGCACCACUAUGCCCAUCUGAGAGAAAUCGAUCCUUCCGAUCCUCCUAGAUAAAAAUCUAGUUGAAGGGUUGAUAAAUGGAGUGUUGUGUAUUCUUCUCUUUAUUUCCCCCGAUACUAGUUGUGCAAGCGAGUAUGCUGAGAUGCUUAGAUUAAAUCAAUGGAUCAACCUGUUGUAGCAAAGUGGAAUAGCUGGUGAUGAUGAUCUGGAUGAGCUGUUACUUGUGGUUGUUGGCAUGUUCCUCUUCCCACUCCUUGAUCUACUCAAGUUGAUCUUGCUCCCCUUCUGGAAAUCCUCCUCUUCCUUGCUGUUAUCUUGACCAGAACUAUAUCUAUCUAAUCAUAAUGGUUGUGUAAUUUUUGGUGAGGAACUGUGGAUGAACUGAUGGUGUUCUUGGGUGGAUAUGGUGCGGUUUGUUGUGGAGAACUCUGUGAAGAGUUUCUAGCAGCUCAGCUGCGGCUGGUUUGCUUCUUUUAUCUACUUUUUGUUGUUGUUGCUGUGUUGACAGCACACCAGAUUGCAUGUGUGUGUGAGCUGCUUGUGUGUGCGUUCCCCUGCCUAGUGCAAGAGAACAAUAUUCCUUUCUCUUCCUCCUUGAGCAAGCAACGUCAGGUUGCUCUUAUCCCAUACUUGUCCUCUUAUUUCUCUGUUGCCAAGUGGAUAAUUAGCAUUGGAUGUUAUUAUGUUGGGAUUUGCAGUAUAACUUGUGGGCUUAACUUGUAUGGCUAAUGGUUCAUCUUGACUAUCUAAUGUCAAUGGUGAAUCACCGAUAAAAAAAAAUAUGUGGGCUUCUAAAAGGACACUAGCUAGAUUAGAGGGAAGAACAUUGUUGGUUUGCUGCCUAAAGUAAUGGAUCAUUUCAGUGUUGCUAUUUGCCUAAGUUGCCUUCUUAUUUGAUGCCUCAUGAUCCAAAAAUCCCAUUUGUCCCUAAUGUUGCCUAAAAAGAAUACUUCUCCCUCUGAUCGAAUUUUGGUUAUUAGGACAAGUUCCUAAUUUCCUAUGGCUAGUCUCCAACAUUUAACAUUGCCUCACCAAAGGUGAGGCAAACAUUUUAACAUUCACAAACCAUUUCUUCUGUCUUUGUUGUUUCUUUUGCAGGGAAAAGAAGAACAAGAAAUGUUAAGAAGAUUUAGAUUUAGGAAUUCUUUUAGUUCCAUUUUGUAAUCUCAUAAUUCUUUUGUAACUUGUAAUAUUUUAAUAAGUGUUAUAAUAAUACUUAUGUGAUUCCAUUUUGUAAUCUCAUAAUUCUUUUGUAACUUGUAAUAUUUUAAUAAGUGUUGUAAUAAUGCUUAUGUGAAUUGUUAUUUGUAAUAUUUUAUUCUCAUUUAUAUUUAUAUUUACUUUGUAUUUAUAUAA